UGCAGUCGAGCGGAUGAAGGGAGCUUGCUCCUGGAUUCAGCGGCGGACGGGUGAGUAAUGCCUAGGAAUCUGCCUGGUAGUGGGGGAUAACGUCCGGAAACGGGCGCUAAUACCGCAUACGUCCUGAGGGAGAAAGUGGGGGAUCUUCGGACCUCACGCUAUCAGAUGAGCCUAGGUCGGAUUAGCUAGUUGGUGGGGUAAAGGCCUACCAAGGCGACGAUCCGUAACUGGUCUGAGAGGAUGAUCAGUCACACUGGAACUGAGACACGGUCCAGACUCCUACGGGAGGCAGCAGUGGGGAAUAUUGGACAAUGGGCGAAAGCCUGAUCCAGCCAUGCCGCGUGUGUGAAGAAGGUCUUCGGAUUGUAAAGCACUUUAAGUUGGGAGGAAGGGCAGUAAGUUAAUACCUUGCUGUUUUGACGUUACCAACAGAAUAAGCACCGGCUAACUUCGUGCCAGCAGCCGCGGUAAUACGAAGGGUGCAAGCGUUAAUCGGAUAUACUGGGCGUAAAGCGCGCGUAGGUGGUUCAGCAAGUUGGAUGUGAAAUCCCCGGGCUCAACCUGGGAACUGCAUCCAAAACUACUGAGCUAGAGUACGGUAGAGGGUGGUGGAAUUUCCUGUGUAGCGG
rnacentral:rRNA from 1 species